CGCGUCCGAUUAGCUUGUUGGUGAGGUAAUGGCUCACCAAGGCUUCGAUCGGUAGCCGGCCUGAGAGGGUGAUCGGCCACAUUGGGACUGAGAUACGGCCCAGACUCCUACGGGAGGCAGCAGUGGGGAAUAUUGCGCAAUGGUCGAAAGACUGACGCAGCGACGCCGCGUGUGGGAGGAAGCCUUUCGGGGUGUAAACCACUGUCAGAGGGGAAGAAUCCCGAGUGUUCGAAUAGGGCACUCGAUUGACGGUACCCUCAGAGGAAGCGCCGGCUAACUCCGUGCCAGCAGCCGCGGUAAGACGGAGGGCGCAAGCGUUGUUCGGAAUUACUGGGCGUAAAGCGCACGCAGGCGGUUUGCUAAGUCCUUUGUGAAAGCCCGGGGCUCAACCCCGGAAUUGCAUCGGAUACUGACAGACUGGAGACUGGUAGAGGCUAGCGGAAUUCCUGGUGUAGCGGUGGAAUGCGUAGAUAUCAGGAAGAACACCUGUGGCGAAAGCGGCUAGCUGGGCCAGAUCUGACGCUCAUGUGCGAAAGCGUGGGGAGCAAACAGGAUUAGAUACCC
rnacentral:rRNA from 1 species